UACGGAGGAUGCAAGCGUGAUCCGGAAUGAUUGGGCGUAAAGCGUCCGCAGGUGGCACUUCAAGUCUGCUGUUAAAUACUAGGGCUCAACCCUGGAGCGGCAGUGGAAACUGAAGAGCUAGAGUUCGGUAGGGGUAGAGGGAAUUCCCAGUGUAGCGGUGAAAUGCGUAGAGAUUGGGAAGAACACCGGUGGCGAAAGCGGUCUGCUAGGCCGAAACUGACACUGAUGGACGAAAGCGUGGGGAGCCAAUGGG
rnacentral:rRNA from 1 species